GACCGCGUGGCGCAGUGGCAGCAUGUUCGGCUCGAGACCGAGAGGUUGUUGGUUCAAAUCCGGCUGCCGUGU
rnacentral:tRNA from 1 species